rnacentral:rRNA from 1 species
UACGGAGGGAGCUAGCGUUGUUCGGAAUUACUGGGCGUAAAGCGCACGUAGGCGGCUCAGCAAGUCAGGGGUGAAAUCCCGGGGCUCAACCCCGGAACUGCCCUUGAAACUGCUAAGCUAGAAUCUUGGAGAGGCGAGUGGAAUUCCGAGUGUAGAGGUGAAAUGCGCAGAUAUCAGGAAGAACACCCGUGGCGAAGGCGGCUCUCUGGAACGCAACUGACGCUGAGACGCGAAAGCGUGGGGAGCAAACAGG